CAGGGCUCGCUCUCCGCUCACACCUGCCCUCCCCAGCAGCCGCCCCGCGCCCCCGCCCGCCAGCUCACCCACGACUUCAGUCCUCUGGGCGGGAAAGGCGAGGAACUGCGGCAGCCGCUGCUGGCUUUUGCCCCUCCUGGAGCUGGAGAGGCUGUCCAGCUGCAUGGAGAACCUGAUGGGCAGCGCCGAGCUGUUCUGCAGCUGUGAGGACAGGGACCUUCAGCGCACUGCCGUCCACCGCCGGCGCGCGGGUCACUGCGAAGGGGGUCUCAGCUCGCCCUCGCUGGGGGUCACGCCCUGCUGGCUGUCCAGCCGCCCUCCGGCCCAACCAUUUUCGCCUUGCUCCCGGCACUUUCCUGGGCUGCUGGUCCAUCUCACCCAGCCUCACGUUAGCCCCCUUUCCCGGCCGGUGCGCCCAGCCCCCUCCACGCGCCUCGGGGAGGGAAACUCCGUGGUAGUGCGCCUUGGGCUCCACAGAGCCCCCCUCUGCCAGGCUCAGGCUGGCCUUCAGCUGAACCAACACCCUCGCCCCUCUCUGAGAGCGCCCCUCCUCAAUAAACACUUCAGGGAAUCCCUAUCCUGGACCUGGUGCCAGGUCCCGACCUAAGCCGGUGGAGGAAGCAGUUGGCUGCUUGAUCCCAAGGCUGCAGUGCCCAAGCUGAGCUCCUCCUCAUCCCAGGUGGGGUGGCUCCUGCAAAGGCCCCGAGGCAGGAAGACAGGGAGCACUAAGAGGCGGAGCUGGUGAGGCGUGGAGGGAGGGGCACUCAGCCUUCCCCCUGCUGGACUGGGCAGUGGAGGCGGCAGCUGCUGGAGGUAGGGGCUGGAUGGGGGGGGCCUGCACCUCCACUAGCUCCCCUACCAAGGCGGGUCUGACCCCUCCCAGGGUGGAGCCCUCUCCUCGGAGGCCAGGGCAGGCACCAGGUCCCCCGUGAUGUGUUUCACCUUGAAGCUUGAGGACGCAGACUCUCCGGCAAUCACGUAACCCAUGUCGAGGACGUCCCCUUCAAUGGAGCACGUGAUCGUGGAUGCCACGCCAGUGCCCACGAGGGUCAGAGACAGCGUGUCUCUCUUGGUGAUGAUGUCCAGUGUUUCUCGGGCCUGAGAAGACCACGUCCAUUAGCACGGAGCAGACAUCUGUCAGAGGCGUGUGCUGGGGCUCUGGGAGCAGCUGGGUCCGGGCAGACUGGAGCAGAGUGAUCUGAGCUCCCUAGCCUCCUCCUGCUUGCCCGCCAGAGCGAUGUCACCGAAGUUGAAGAUGGUUUUGCCUUUGUCGGAGGUCACCACGAGAGACGGUGCCACGGCUGGACACCACAGCUCCAGGUACAGGGUAUUGUGGGGACUGGGGGUGGGGCAGGGUGCGCUGGGGGCGUUGUGCUCUGCACCCCGCCCUCGCCUGCCCACUUCAGCCUCCCUGCCCUUCCCUCUGGGCCCCCAGAACUGGUUCGUAGCAGAGGAUGGACAGCCACUUUCUGGAAGACACCCCCUCCCCCACCAGCGCACUGCACCUGAAGCUCAGGGGUUCCGUCCCCUUCCUGUCUUCAGUGUCACCACUGGCAACGACACAGGGAACCACAAACUUGUCAAACCUCCCCUGGAAAGAUCUGGCCAGGGUGGCCUGGGCAGCCUGGUACUCGUCCGAACUGGAAUUAAGCAGCAGCGCACACUCACGCCCCUGUACCCACACUGUCCCCAGAAGCCCCGGGGGGCCCUGCCACACUCUCCCGGGCCCCGGGCCGGAGGG